AGAAGUUAAAAUGGUCCCACUGUAACAUCUGCCAACUCGUUGAUCACUCAAGUUGAUUUGGUUGAUGUGACUUGUUAAGAAGGUGUUCCCUUCCUUCCUUUCUACUCCAUAUGACUCCCUUCUGAAGUUGCACCCUUGAUGAAAGAUGGUGACCUCUAAGAGAUGAUAUCAUGAGUAGCUGCAUCCCUCUACUAGAACUAAGUCCCAGUGUUCUUAAAGGAAAGUGUAUAUAAAGGUGUUGGUGGUAGAGGAGAGACUUUAUAUUUUUGAGUGAAUCCCACAACCCCCACCCCAUUGU
rnacentral:snRNA from 1 species